rnacentral:rRNA from 1 species
CCCGCUGAACUUAAGCAUAUAACUAAGCGGAGGAAAAGAAACUAACAAGGAUUCCCUCAGUAACGGCGAGUGAAGCGGGAAGAGCGCAGACUGAAAACCUUCGGGGAUGUAGUCUGGAGAUGGGAUAUCGAAUCUCAGGAAGCUGAUAAAGUGGUCUGGAGCGACACGCCGUGGAGGGUGAUAGCCCCGUUCGUAUCAGUGAAAAGAGAAAGUAGAUACCUAUCAACGAGUCGAGUUGUUUGGGAUUGCAGCUCAAAGCGGGAGGUAAAUUCCUUCCAACGCUAAAUACGGAUAGGAGACCGAUAGCAAACAAGUACCGUGAGGGAAAGAUGAAAAGCACUUUGAAAAGAGAGUGAAAUAGUACGUGAAAUUGCUGUAGCGGAACCGUUGGGAAGCAGUGUUGCUGGCUAUCGACUUGUCUUUAGCAUGCAGGUCAGGCUUGCUUCAGUUUAGGCCAGGGAAAAGGCACGAGUAAUCGUUGUCCUAUCUGGUUCUGGAGUGACUCUGGGGAAAUGCUUCUCAACAACCCGUCUUGAAACACGG